rnacentral:lncRNA from 1 species
CUUUCUCCCCGCCGCAUUCCCGGUGUCGACUUACUAGCUGCAAGCCUCUGCCUGCCUUCCUGCGCGCCGUUCCCCGCUAGUCGCUGCUGCUGGCGCGCACUCGCCGGGUUUUUCCUCCCACGGCCUCGAGAUGGUGGUGAAUGUGGCACGGAGGAGCCGGGCCUUCCAACCCGGUGGGCCCGAGCUCCGAAAGGCCCCCUCGGCAGUGAGAGGGGCGGGAGCCCGCGGGGGCCGCGCCCUUCUCUCGCUUCGGACUGCGCAACGCUGCGCUCUGGGCUGACAGAUGAAGACUCUUAAGAUGACAGAAGGUGAUUUUUCUGGUGAUCGAGGACUUCCGGGGUAAUGACAGUGAUGAAAUGCAGGGGACCUGGUAGGUUUCUUUUGGAGACUAACUGGGGGCUGCCUGGUGGGACAGAACAGCAUGUUUCCAAGGGCUGUGGCUGGUCAUAGCCAUGGGAUCUCCAACUGCAUGCAAGAGCAACCUGGAAAGACUUUGACAGCGCAGGUUGCCCCCAAGUUUCCUGGCAGUGUGUGAUACUGAGGAGGUGAGCUUGUUUCUGGAGCUGUGCUUUAAGAUUCAUGUUACAUGUAAAGCUGUCCUCAUUUGUGACUAUGGACCUAUGGAGUUGGGACAAUCUCUAUGGGAAGCAGAAGGCAAGGACCCCGGUCAUUUUAGGUAGAAACAACAGCAUGCUAAUGCAAAAAAUUAUGCAGUGUGCUACUGAACUUCAGAGGUGAUCAAUAAAAGAAGAAUAAAAAGACUAAUAAAA